rnacentral:rRNA from 1 species
GACGGGGGAUGCGAGCGUUAUCCGGAAUGAUUGGGCGUAAAGGGUCCGCAGGUGGCCCGGUCAGUCCGCUGUCAAAGCCUGGGGCUCAACCCUGGAGAGGCGGCGGAGACCACCGGGCUUGAGUCCGGUAGGGGCAGAGGGAAUUCCUGGUGUAGCGGUGAAAUGCGUAGAGAUCAGGAAGAACAUCGGUGGCGAAGGCGCUCUGCUGGACCAUAACUGACACUCAGGGACGAAAGCUAGGGGAGCGAACAGG